rnacentral:rRNA from 1 species
CCUACGGGAGGCAGCAGUGGGGAAUCUUGCGCAAUGGUCGAAAGACUGACGCAGCGACGCCGCGUGCGGGAGGACGCCCUUCGGGGUGUAAACCGCUGUUACCCGGGACGAACCUGAGGAUUCAUCCUCACUGACGGUACCGGGGGAGGAAGCACCGGCUAACUCUGUGCCAGCAGCCGCGGUAAU